UCAAUUUGCAUCAAAAUCGAGUCAACCAAAAUGGAUAUUAUUCCUCAAGGAUCCAAGAUGGAGGUUGUGCAGUGGACACGACAGCAACUGUUUGAUGCCGUGCAUGAGGAAUGGGACGAAAAUCUCGAUGACCUUAUCGAAAAUUUGGGCGUUAAACUGCUCAAUAAAGCACCACAUUUUUUUCGCAUCGAAAAAAAUGUGUAAGAAUUAAAGAAAUUAAUUUACAAAAUA
rnacentral:lncRNA from 1 species